rnacentral:lncRNA from 1 species
UCUUCUUCUUCUUCUUCUUCUUCAUCGAUCUAGGAUGGGUUCCAGGCCGGCAGCCUGGGAUAGCAAGGAUGGACGUCGUUCUUCUUUUGUCGUUUGUUUUCGUCCGUAGUCGGACCCUGCUCUUACUCUUGACGAUUAUGUAAUGUACUGAUGUGACUCUGAUGUAGCUUGUGGCGAGUGUAAGCCAACUCUGAAUAUAUAUAUCUCUUCUUUUCAGUACAUGUACUUGUAACGAUAUCCAUUCUUGCGACACGACGAGAUGCGCUUCUAUCCCUGACGAGGCCUUCGUGC